AGUAAAGGAUCAUCUGCUAAGAUCGUCACGUCCUGUGACAACGCAGAUGCCUGCACAUCCUGUGCA
rfam:Bacillaceae bacterium MTCC 8252 Contig39, whole genome shotgun sequence.